GGGACGAAGGCAUGAAUCCUAAUACGAUUCAUGUUUGACGGUACCUAGAAAGGAAGCCCCGGCUAACUCUGUGCCAGCAGCCGCGGUAAUACAGAGGGGGCAAGCGUUAUUCGGAAUUAUUGGGCGUAAAGGGUGCGUAGGCGGUUUUCUAAGUCAGAUGUGUAAUCCCCGAGCUCAACUUGGGAACUGCAUCUGAAACUGGGAGACUAGAGUACUGGAGAGGAUGGUGGAAUUCCACGUGUAGCGGUAAAAUGCGUAGAGAUGUGGAGGAACACCAGUGGCGAAGGCGGCCAUCUGGACAGUAACUGACGCUGAAGCACGAAAGUGUGGGUAGCAAACAGGAUUAGAUACCCUGGUAGUCCACACCGUAAACGAUGAACACUUGGUGUAGUGGGAGUUGACCCCCACUGUGCCGUAGCUAACGCGAUAAGUGUUCCGCCUGGGGAGUACGGUCGCAAGGCUGAAACUCAAAUGAAUUGACGGGG
rnacentral:rRNA from 1 species